GACGAACCUUGCUAACGUUAUUCGGAAUUACUGGGCUUAAAGGGUGCGUAGGCGGUGCAGCAAGUCGGGUGUGAAAUCCCUCAGCUCAACUGAGGAACGGCGCCCGAAACUGCUGUGCUCGAGGAAGAUAGAGGUACGCGGAACUUAGGGUGGAGCGGUGAAAUGCGUUGAUAUCCUAAGGAACACCGGUGGCGAAGGCGGGUCUCUGGACAGUUCCUGACACUGAGGCACGAAGGCCAGGGGAGCAAACGGG
rnacentral:rRNA from 1 species